rnacentral:rRNA from 1 species
GCAGCCGCGGCCACAGCUACCGUGCGAGGUGGCGGAGCUAUGCCCGUGGACAUCGUUGAGUUCAAAGCGGACCAUCCCUUCACGUUCCUCAUCAUGGAGGAGAGAUCAGGGGUGAUCGUCUUCGCUGGGCACGUCCUUGACCCUACAAAGUGA